rnacentral:rRNA from 1 species
GAUGAACGCUGGCGGCGUGCCUAAUACAUGCAAGUCGAGCGAACAGAUGAGGAGCUUGCUCCUCUGACGUUAGCGGCGGACGGGUGAGUAACACGUGGAUAACCUACCUAUAAGACUGGGAUAACUUCGGGAAACCGGAGCUAAUACCGGAUAAUAUAUUGAACCGCAUGGUUCAAUAGUGAAAGACGGUUUUGCUGUCACUUAUAGAUGGAUCCGCGCCGCAUUAGCUAGUUGGUAAGGUAACGGCUUACCAAGGCGACGAUGCGUAGCCGACCUGAGAGGGUGAUCGGCCACACUGGAACUGAGACACGGUCCAGACUCCUACGGGAGGCAGCAGUAGGGAAUCUUCCGCAAUGGGCGAAAGCCUGACGGAGCAACGCCGCGUGAGUGAUGAAGGUCUUCGGAUCGUAAAACUCUGUUAUUAGGGAAGAACAAAUGUGUAAGUAACUAUGCGCGUCUUGACGGUACCUAAUCAGAAAGCCACGGCUAACUACG